UUGUAUCUCCAAAAAUAAUUAACUGCCCAAUGGAAAGAUUCUAAUCUAAAAAUAAAAAUAAAUUGUGGGGCUUUAGAUAUACUUUACAUUACUUUACAGUUUCCGAAAUUGGCCCUCUUUUGCUUGCAGCAGAAGUAUUGGUGUUCUCCUUGCUGCAGCAGCAGAAAUUUGACCCAAAAAUGACUACAGGAAUAUCUUUCUACUGCAAUCUCUAAUUUCUAUGGGUUGACUUAUAGAUUUUUUUAAAAAUGUCCAUGUGAUGUAGACAUUUAUUGGUUUCCAUUCCAAUUGUUAAAGAAAAGAUGGCAAUGAGAUUAUUUGAGCAGGACAUUGACCAAUGCUAGCCCAUACAUUGGACAUAUAUUGUCUAUGUCCAGCACUUUAUGAUAUUUUGAAAAUCAUUUUGUUUAUUAUAUUCCUUUAACCUGGUCCCCAUUUUUCCCCUGUGAUUGCACAAAGCCUCCCCUCCAAAUUUGUGGACUUGUUUGGUGUCCUCCUUGAUGUCUCUUUGGGUGCGUUUGAUAGAGGAAUGGACAGAAUAAUCCAUAUGUGUGCAUUGAAAGUGUUCUAAAUGUAUGAAUAACUAUUGAUAAUGUAUAUGAUCUUAUAUUUAAUAGAAUUUUAAGAGAAUUGGUGGUCCGUAGAAAUGCCCUGAAGAAGCCAAAGUUGGAAAAACAUGUUGGAAUACAAUAUUAAACACUGAUCACCUUCUAUACAUGGACACCAUUGAUUCUAUGUGGGCUCUUCACUGAAGAACAUAUCAAGAUUACAAAGGACAAGCCACCAGUCCUGUUUGUCUUUUAUGCGGUCAUCAGAUAGACACAAGAAAUCUCCAGACUGUUUUACAGACUUGCAAAUAAAGGUCCCAAAGUUCA